rnacentral:rRNA from 1 species
AGCGUACACGGUGGAUGCCUAGGCAGUCAGAGGCGAUGAAGGGCGUGCUAAUCUGCGAAAAGCGUCGGUAAGGUGAUAUGAACCGUUAUAACCGGCGAUACCCGAAUGGGGAAACCCAGUGUGUUUCGACACACUAUCAUGUCAUGAAUACAUAGUGGCAUGAGGCGAACCGGGGGAACUGAAACAUCUAAGUACCCCGAGGAAAAGAAAUCAACCGAGAUUCCCCCAGUAGCGGCGAGCGAACGGGGAGGAGCCCAGAACCUGAAUCGGCUUGUGUGUUAGUGGAAGCGUCUGGAAAGUCGCGCAGCAAAGGGUGAUAGCCCCGUACACUAAAAUGCACAGGUCGUGAGUUCGAUGAGUAGGGCGGGACACGUGACAUCCUGUCUGAAUAUGGGGGGACCAUCCUCCAAGGCUAAAUACUCCUGACUGACCGAUAGUGAACCAGUACCGUGAGGGAAAGGCGAAAAGAACCCCGGCGAGGGGAGUGAAAUAGAACCUGAAACCGUGUACGUACAAGCAGUGGGAGCACCUUCGUGGUGUGACUGCGUACCUUUUGUAUAAUGGGUCAGCGACUUAUAUUUUGUAGCAAGGUUAACCGUAUAGGGGAGCCGUAGGGAAACCGAGUCUUAACUGGGCGAAUAGUUGCAAGGUAUAGACCCGAAACCCGGUGAUCUAGCCAUGGGCAGGUUGAAGGUUGGGUAACACUAACUGGAGGACCGAACCGACUAAUGUUGAAAAAUUAGCGGAUGACUUGUGGCUGGGGGUGAAAGGCCAAUCAAACCGGGAGAUAGCUGGUUCUCCCCGAAAGCUAUUUAGGUAGCGCCUCGUGAACUCAUCUUCGGGGGUAGAGCACUGUUUCGGCUAGGGGGCCAUCCCGGCUUACCAAACCGAUGCAAACUCCGAAUACCGAAGAAUGUUAUCACGGGAGACACACGGCGGGUGCUAACGUCCGUCGUGAAGAGGGAAACAACCCAGACCGCCAGCUAAGGUCCCAAAGUCAUGGUUAAGUGGGAAACGAUGUGGGAAGGCACAGACAGCCAGGAUGUUGGCUUAGAAGCAGCCAUCAUUUAAAGAAAGCGUAAUAGCUCACUGGUCGAGUCGGCCUGCGCGGAAGAUGUAACGGGGCUAAACCAUGCACCGAAGCUGCGGCAGCGACGCUUAGGCGUUGUUGGGUAGGGGAGCGUUCUGUAAGCCGUUGAAGGUGGCCUGUGAGGGUUGCUGGAGGUAUCAGAAGUGCGAAUGCUGACAUAAGUAACGAUAAAGCGGGUGAAAAGCCCGCUCGCCGGAAGACCAAGGGUUCCUGUCCAACGUUAAUCGGGGCAGGGUGAGUCGACCCCUAAGGCGAGGCUGAAAAGCGUAGUCGAUGGGAAACAGGUUAAUAUUCCUGUACUUGGUGUUACUGCGAAGGGGGGACGGAGAAGGCUAGGCUAGCCGGGCGACGGUUGUCCCGGUUUAAGCGUGUAGGGGGUGUGACCUGGUAAAUCCGGUUACAUACUAACCCUGAGGCGUGAUGACGAUGCACUACGGUGCAGAAGUAGUUGAUGCCCUGCUUCCAGGAAAAGCCUCUAAGCUCCAGGUAACAUUAAAUCGUACCCCAAACCGACACAGGUGGUCAGGUAGAGAAUACCAAGGCGCUUGAGAGAACUCGGGUGAAGGAACUAGGCAAAAUGGUGCCGUAACUUCGGGAGAAGGCACGCUGGCAUGUAGGUGAAGUCCCUUGCGGAUGGAGCUGAAGCCAGUCGAAGAUACCAGCUGGCUGCAACUGUUUAAUAAAAACACAGCACUGUGCAAACACGAAAGUGGACGUAUACGGUGUGACGCCUGCCCGGUGCUGGAAGGUUAAUUGAUGGGGUCAGCCGCAAGGCGAAGCUCUUGAUCGAAGCCCCAGUAAACGGCGGCCGUAACUAUAACGGUCCUAAGGUAGCGAAAUUCCUUGUCGGGUAAGUUCCGACCUGCACGAAUGGCGUAAUGAUGGCCAGGCUGUCUCCACCCGAGACUCAGUGAAAUUGAACUCGCUGUGAAGAUGCAGUGUACCCGCGGCAAGACGGAAAGACCCCGUGAACCUUUACUAUAGCUUGACACUGAACAUUGAGCCUUGAUGUGUAGGAUAGGUGGGAGGCUUUGAAGCGUGGACGCCAGUCUGCGUGGAGCCAUCCUUGAAAUACCACCCUUUAAUGUUUGAUGUUCUAACUCGGCCCCAUAAUCUGGGGUGAGGACAGUGUCUGGUGGGUAGUUUGACUGGGGCGGUCUCCUCCCAAAGAGUAACGGAGGAGCACGAAGGUUAGCUAAUCACGGUCGGACAUCGUGAGGUUAGUGCAAAGGCAUAAGCUAGCUUGACUGCGAGAGUGACGGCUCGAGCAGGUACGAAAGUAGGUCUUAGUGAUCCGGUGGUUCUGAAUGGAAGGGCCAUCGCUCAACGGAUAAAAGGUACUCCGGGGAUAACAGGCUGAUACCGCCCAAGAGUUCAUAUCGACGGCGGUGUUUGGCACCUCGAUGUCGGCUCAUCACAUCCUGGGGCUGAAGUAGGUCCCAAGGGUAUGGCUGUUCGCCAUUUAAAGUGGUACGCGAGCUGGGUUUAGAACGUCGUGAGACAGUUCGGUCCCUAUCUGCCGUGGGCGUUGGAAGAUUGAGAGGGGUUGCUCCUAGUACGAGAGGACCGGAGUGAACGCACCACUGGUGUUCGGGUUGUCAUGCCAAUGGCAUUGCCCGGUAGCUAAGUGCGGAAAAGAUAAGCGCUGAAAGCAUCUAAGCGCGAAACUUGCCUCAAGAUGAGUCUUCCCUGGGCCUUUAAGGCCCCUGAAGGAACGUUUAAGACUAAGACGUUGA